ACAGCAGUCGCCGCGGGAAUACGAAGGGUGCAAGCGUUACUCGGAAUUACUGGGCGUAAAGCGUGCGUAGGUGGUGGUUUAAGUCCGUUGUGAAAGCCCUGGGCUCAACCUGGGAAUUGCAGUGGAUACUGGGUCACUAGAGUGUGGUAGAGGAUAGUGGAAUUUCCGGUGUAGCAGUGAAAUGCGUAGAGAUCGGAAGGAACAUCUGUGGCGAAGGCGACUAUCUGGGCCAACACUGACACUGAGGCACGAAAGCGUGGGGAGCAAACAGGAUUAGAGACCCCUGUAGUCCCUGUCUCUUAUAU
rnacentral:rRNA from 1 species